rnacentral:rRNA from 1 species
UACGUAGGGUGCGAGCGUUGUCCGGACUUAUUGGGCGUAAAGCGCUCGUAGGCGGUGUGUCACGUCGGCCGUGAAAACCUGCAGCUUAACUGUGGGCGUGCGGUCGAUACGGGCAUCACUGGAGUUCGGCAGGGGAGACUGGAAUUCCUGGUGUAGCGGUGAAAUGCGCAGAUAUCAGGAGGAACACCGGUGGCGAAGGCGGGUCUCUGGGCCGAUACUGACGCUGAGGAGCGAAAGCGUGGGGAGCAAACAGG